rnacentral:rRNA from 1 species
UACGAAGGGAGCUAGCGUUGUUCGGAAUUACUGGGCGUAAAGGGCGCGUAGGCGGCUCUUUUAGUCAGGCGUGAAAGCCCCGGGCUUAACCUGGGAACAGCGUUUGAUACUGGAGAGCUUGAGUGUGGGAGAGGUUGGUGGAAUUCCCAGUGUAGAGGUGAAAUGCGUAGAUAUCAGGAGGAACACCUGCGGUGUAGACGGCUUACUGGACCAUAACUGACGCUGAGGCACGAAAGCGUGGGUAGCAAACAGG